rnacentral:rRNA from 1 species
AACGAACGCUGGCGGCGUGCCUAACACAUGCAAGUCGUGCGAGAAAGUUCCUUCGGGAGCGAGUAAAGCGGCGCACGGGUGAGUAACACGUAGGUAACCUGCCCCCAAGUCUGGAACAACUGGAGGAAACUCCAGCUAAUGCCGGAUGAGACCACGAUCCCCUCGGGGGUUGUGGCCAAAGAUGGCCUCUGCUUGCAAGCUAUCGCUCGGGGAUGGGCCUGCGGGCCAUUAGCUAGUUGGUGAGGUAACGGCUCACCAAGGCAGUGAUGGCUAGCUGGUCUGAGAGGAUGACCAGCCACACUGGGACUGAGACACGGCCCAGACUCCUACGGGAGGCAGCAGUGGGGAAUAUUGCGCAAUGGGCGAAAGCCUGACGCAGCGACGCCGCGUGGGUGAUGAAGGCCUUGGUCGUAAAGCCUGUCGCAGGGAAGGAAGUAAAGACGGUGGGAGUAA